CUAAGAAUCUUCCGCAAUGGGGGCAACCCUGACGGAGCGACGCCGCGUGGACGAGGAAGGCCGAAAGGUUGUAAAGUUCUUUUCUUGGGGAAGAAUAAAGGGAAGAGGGAAUGCUUCUCUGAUGGCGGUAACCGAGGAAAAAGCCCCGGCCAAUUACGUGCCAGCAGCCGCGGUAAAACGUAGGGGGCAAGCGUUGCUCGGAAUCACUGGGUUUAAAGGGCUCGCAGGCGGGCAUAUAAGUCGUGGGUUAAAUCUCCGAGCUCAACUCGGAUACGCCUGCGAUACUGUAUGCCUCGAGAGAGAGAUAGGAAACGGGAAUUCCCGGUGUAACGGUGGAAUGUGUAGAUAUCGGGAGGAACACCAAUAGCGAAGGCAAGUUUCUGACCCUCUUCUGACGCUCAUGAGCGAAAGCGUGGGUAGCAAACA
rnacentral:rRNA from 1 species